CCUUAGAUGUUCUGGGCCGCACGCGCGCUACACUGAUCAAGUCAACGAGUUUACAACCUAGAUUGAGAGAUCCGGGUAAUCUUUUUAACAUCCAUCGUGCUGGGGAUAGAUGAUUGUAAUUAUUCAUCUUCAACGAGGAAUUCCUAGUAAACGCAAGUCAUCAACUUGCAUUGAUUACGUCCCUGCCCUUUGUACACACCGCCGUCGCUACUACCGAUUGAAUGGAUUAGUGAACUUCACGGAUUGUGGUAUGGUUAGGUUCUCCUAGCCAUACUUCGGAGAAGUGAAUUAAACUUGCUCAUUUAGAGGAAGUAAAAGUCGUAACAAGUU
rnacentral:rRNA from 1 species